rnacentral:rRNA from 1 species
ACGGGCGAGUAACACGUGAGUAACCUGUCCUUUUCUUUGGGAUAACGGCUGGAAACGGCUGCUAAUACCGGAUAUUCAGGCGUGACCGCAUGGUUGUGUUUGGAAAGGUUUUUUCUGGAAUGGGGUGGGCUCGCGGCCUAUCAGCUUGUUGGUGGGGUGAUGGCUUACCAAGGCUUUGACGGGUAGCCGGCCUGAGAGGGUGGUCGGUCGCACUGGGACUGAGAUACGGCCCAGACUCCUACGGGAGGCAGCAGUGGGGAAUAUUGCACAAUGGACGAAAGUUUGAUGCAGCGACGCCGCGUGGAGGGUGUAGGCCUUCGGGUUGUGAACUCCUUUUUCUAGCGAAAAAGGCACGGUUUUGGCCGUGUUGAUGGUAGUUGGGGAAGAAGCGCCGGCUAACUACGUGCCAGCAGCCGCGGUAAUACGUAGGGCGCGAGCGUUGUCCGGAUUUAUUGGGCGUAAAGAGCUCGUAGGUGGUUCGUCGCGUCUGUCGUGAAAGCCAGCAGCUUAACUGUUGGUCUGCGGUGGGUACGGGCGGGCUUGAGUGCGGUAGGGGAGAUUGGAAUUCCUGGUGUAGCGGUGGAAUGCGCAGAUAUCAGGAGGAACACCGAUGGCGAAAGGCAGGUCUCUGGGCCGUUACUGACGCUGAGGAGCGAAAGCGUGGGAGCGAACAGGAUUAGAUACCCUGUAGUCCACGCUGUAAAU